GGCAGGGGCAGUGUCGCUCGCAGCCCUUCCGCUUCCUCCUAGACUGGCGGCGUGCAAAGGCUCCUGCAGGUGCAGGCGCCGCGGAGAGUGUGUGCGUGCACCUCGGGGUAAACGCUGCAAGCAGCCAUUCCGGCCAUGCAGCAGAUCCAGCUCAAAUGAAGGAGAGAAAGAGCUCUGUCUGUCCUCAGAGCCCAAUGCAGACCGUAGCCCAGUGCUGUCAGAGUGGAAUGGGCAAAGCAUGAGGCUCUGGGCCUGUUUGCGUGGCUAUGAAGAGGCAGGAUGGCCAAGCGAAUGAUUUGAUCUGACUUGGUCCCUCUCCAAACCUCUAAGGAACGUUCACGAGAAGGCGUUUGCCACCUGGACACAAUGAGGCCUCGUUGGAGGGACAAGCCAGAAGCUGGCUGGGAGCCAGAGACCCGGUUUGAAUGGCUGUUGCUAAGGGGCUGCCAACAGUCCAUCUCAACCCCCAAGAGACUGACCCAGGAUGGGGUGGGGGCCGCCCCCCAUCUCGGAGGCCACAACUCACACCAUUUGUGGGCCAGGCCGUGAUCAGAAUGUGCGGGGACAAGGUGGCUUUGAGUGGCUGAGCAGAGCCUCUCCCCCUCUGCUGGCUUUGGCCUCACUUGGAUUAGAGCCUGCUCAGGGAGUCCCUUUGUUGGCUGCUUGUUAUUCCACAUGCACUGAGCACUGCGCAUUCAUCUUUAUUAGUUCUAAUUGCUUCCCCAUUCUAAUGGGAUCUUGAUA